CCUUGACAUACUAAGAACUUUCCAGAGAUGGAUUGGUGCCUUCGGGAACUUUAGAUACAGGUGCUGCAUGGCUGUCGUCAGCUCGUGUCGUGAGAUGUUGGGUUAAGUCCCGNAACGAGCGCAACCCUUUUCCUAUUUGCCAGCGGGUCAUGCCGGGAACUUUAAGGAUACUGCCAGUGACAAACUGGAGGAAGGCGGGGACGACGUCAAGUCAUCAUGGCCCUUACGGCCAGGGCUACACACGUGCUACAAUGGUCGGUACAAAGGGUUGCUACCUCGCGAGAGGAUGCUAAUCUCAAAAAGCCGAUCGUAGUCCGGAUCGCAGUCUGCAACUCGACUGCGUGAAGUCGGAAUCGCUAGUAAUCGCGGAUCAGAAUGCCGCGGUGAAUACGUUCCCGGGCCUUGUACACACCGCCCGUCACACCAUGGGAGUUUGUUGCACCAGAAGUAGGUAGUCUAACCGCAAGGAGGACGCUUACCACGGUGUGGCCGAUGACUGGGGUGAAGUCGUAACAAGGUAAGCGUAGAUGA
rnacentral:rRNA from 1 species